rnacentral:rRNA from 1 species
AGCGAACGCUGGCGGCAGGCCUAACACAUGCAAGUCGAACGAACUCUUCGGAGUUAGUGGCGGACGGGUGAGUAACACGUGGGAACGUGCCUUUAGGUUCGGAAUAACUCAGGGAAACUUGUGCUAAUACCGAAUGUGCCCUUCGGGGGAAAGAUUUAUCGCCUUUAGAGCGGCCCGCGUCUGAUUAGCUAGUUGGUGAGGUAAAGGCUCACCAAGGCGACGAGCAGUAGCUGGUCUGAGAGGAUGAUCAGCCACAUUGGGACUGAGACACGGCCCAAACUCCUACGAGAGGCAGCAGUGGGGAAUCUUGCGCAAUGGGCGAAAGACUGACGCAGCCAUGCCGCGUGAAUGAUGAAGGUCUUAGGAUUGUAAAAUUCUUUCACCGGGGACGAUAAUGACGGUACCCGGAGAAGAAGCCCCGGCUAACUUCGUG